AGUGGCGCAUGCGCGAUGUGCGAGACUACCAUCUUGUUAGUUACCAUCUGGUAGUGACAAGGGUAAAACGAAUCUUACGGAUAGCGCCUUGGUUUGAUCAGUAGAAAUUGUUGGUAUUAUUGUGUAAUAGCCUGCAUUCCCUGCAGGCGAACGUUUUUUUGUAAUACUUUAAAAUCCCGAGACGUUUAAAAGGAACCGAAGACGACUGUAGGAGAAGUUUAAAAGCGAGCGUAUGGGACUUACCGCGACUGACCAACGCCUAACAACUUUGUGUGGAGCUCACUUUUUAUUAGGUUGAACCCUGACCACGCCCACCUGAGGACCAUCACACGUGAACACUGCAAAUUCCUUCCCAAACUCCUUUGUCAUUCUAAUUUGCAUUCCAAAAGCUCCAGCAGCUGAUUGGUUAGGCUUGAAUACAAGAAGCUGGAUGGAUCAGACAGAGGAUGCACUAUAUUAACACCACAUAGGGGAGUCUGAACUCACCAUUGUAAGGUAGACACUGGGAUGCUCUGGAUGGAUACUGAACACACCUUCGUAAGGAAUGUUAGAGUGGAUUUCCUUUACAAAACAGAACUGAACUGACUGGCACUGGGAUGACUCUGAAUGAUUAUGUGUGUCAUUCUUUGGAAGCAUACUGUAGAAGUGUAAAUCGCCAACAGUUCAACUACACUGUAGUUCUUUGUUUGCACAUUUUCACUGUAUUAGUCUUGCAUUGAAUGAAGGUUUGACUAGAUUUUCUUUGAAAAACAGAACUGAAGUCUAAAAUGUCAGGAUCUACUGAACCAUCACAACUGCUCAUGUCAGUGA